AAAUGUUCAUACUACAACUUCCCCUUUCUUCCAUCACAGCACAGACUGGCCCACUGACAAUGGUUCAUGGCUGCCUCGGUAAGCUCUUGAGAGCAUCUAGGAGAACUUUGUGAAAACAUCCAUUUUGAGUUUCUCUCAGGCAUGCCCAGUUGGCUCCAGGAGGAGAUUUCUCAAAUGUUCCAUUUAAUCACACUUCUUGCG